rnacentral:rRNA from 1 species
CUACGUGCCAGCAGCCGCGGUAAUACGUAGGUGGCGAGCGUUGUCCGGAAUCAUUGGGCGUAAAGGGAGCGCAGGCGGGCAUGUAAGUCUUUCUUAAAAGUUCGGGGCUCAACCCCGUGAUGGGAAAGAAACUACAAGUCUUGAGUACAGGAGAGGAAAGCGGAAUUCCCAGUGUAGCGGUGAAAUGCGUAGAUAUUGGGAGGAACACCAGUGGCGAAGGCGGCUUUCUGGACUGCAACUGACGCUGAGGCUCGAAAGCCAGGGGAGCGAACGGGAUUAGAUACCCCGGUAGUCCUGGCCGUAAACGAUGGGUACUAGGUGUAGGAGGUAUCGACCCCUUCUGUGCCGGAGUUAACGCAAUAAGUACCCCGCCUGGGGAGUACGACCGCAAGGUUGAAACUCAAAGGAAUUGACGGGGGCCCGCACAAGCGGUGGAGUAUGUGGUUUAAUUCGACGCAACGCGAAGAACCUUACCAGGUCUU